UACAGAGGUCUCAAGCGUUGUUCGGAUUCAUUGGGCGUAAAGGGCGCGUAGGUGGUUCUGUAUGUCUACCGUGAAAGCAUACAGCUCAACUGUAUUUUGUCGGUAGAAACUGCGGGACUUGAGGCUGGGAGGGGCUGGUGGAAUUCCCUGUGUAGCGGUGAAAUGCGUAGAGAUGGGGGAGAACACUCGUGGCGAAGGCGGCCAGCUAGACCAGUUCUGACACUGAGGCGCGACAGCGUGGGGAGCAAACAGG
rnacentral:rRNA from 1 species